GCAUUCUUAAGCAAUCUUUCACCACUCUCAAGCGUUCUUACACCGUUCUCUCACCAUUCUUAAGCGUUCUUACAGCGUUCUCAAGCGUUCUUACAGCGUUCUCACAGCAUUCUCAAGCGUUCUUACAGCGUUCUCAAGCGUUCUUACAGUGUUCUCAAGCGUUCUUACAGCGUUCUCACUGUUAAGAUAUAGGCGAGUGGAACUGUGUAGGUAAAGCCAACCUUAACCGUUACAGGUAUCACAGAACAAACUUUCAGUCAGAACAUCAUCUCCUUUAUACCAAACAUUCCAUCUUAUCUGUCGCACAGCCGUUAGUGUUCUGGCCGGAUGUCAACACUCCCCCUCGGACGGAACACUCGGGGGAAUCCAACUCAACGAACAAUGAGGUAUUAUAUAGGUCUUCAAGCGUAAGCGGGAUGAGCAUGGAAACAUCGAACGUUAUCGUGCGCGCUUGGUAGCGCAAGGUUUUCGCCAAGAGGAAGGGAUAGAUUUCGAUGAGGUAUUUGCGCCUGUCGGAAAGCGCACCACCCUUCGUGCUCUGCUUUCUGUUGUUGCUGCACGUGGUCUAGUUCUGGAACAGAUGGAUGUCAAGACCGCGUUUCUUAACGGAGAUCUAGAAGAGCCUGUGUUUUGCGGCAAGCCGCCAGGCUAUGACCUUGGUGGACCUGAUGAUGCUUGUUUGUUUCACAAAUCGCUUUACGGUCUGCGGCAGUCUCCGCGAGCGUGGUAUGUUAAGCUCAAGGAGGAGUUGAGGAAGAUGGGCUUCAAGCCUACUGCUGCCGAUCCUGCUAUGUUUGUCCGUGGCGAGGGGGAUGAUCGUGUUUAUUUCUUGAUCAACGUGGAUGACUCCCUCACGGCUGCUAAAUGCCAAGAAUUGGUUAACGAGGUUAAAAGACGGUUGAUGGAGGUUUUCGAGACGAGAGACCUAGGGCCUGUCGAUCGUUUCGUUGGUAUGGAGAUCAAAAGAAGCGUGAACGAAAAGUGGCUGAAGUUGUCACAGCGGAAGUACACUGAAGGCCUGUUGUCGAAGUUUGGUUUUGUUGAUGCCAACGGUCGCGCUACACCGCUUUCGCCUGGAGUUCAGCUUCGUGUUGCUGAAGAGGGGGAUGAGUCUGUGGGUAACGAGUAUCGCGAGCUAGUGGGCGGACUUAUGUAUCUUUCGUCCUGUACUAGGCCGGACAUUUCUCAGGCCGUGGGAGCGCUCGCACGUCAUAUGUCGAAACCUACCAAUGACCACCUUUUGACGGCUAAGGGUGUUUUGCGGUAUCUUGCUGGUACGCGCGAUUUUGGUUUAGUGUUCGAAGGGAACGGUGGCCUGCAGGGUUUUGCCGACGCUGAUUACGCUGGUUGCCCUGAUACCCGGAGGUCGACCACUGGCUUUGUGUUUUUGCAUUCGAACGCGGCUGUUAGUUGGUCCAGUCGUGUCCAGCCUACUGUGGCAGUUUCGACUGCGGAAGCUGAAUACAUGGCUGCUGCGGCUGCUACGCGAGAAGCUUUGUGGUUGAGGCAAUUGUUCCUGGAGUUGGGGGUUGACGCUAACUGCGUCAGCAUAGCGUGCGAUAAUAAGGCUGCUAUUUCUCUUAUCGAGAAUCCUGGUUCUUCGGUGCGAACUAAGCACAUAGAUGUCGCUCACCACUUCGUACGAGAGCGAGUUGAGCGAAGCGAGGUUUGUUUUCGUUAUUGUGGUACGGCUGAUAUGGUCGCCGAUUGCAUGACGAAAUCGUUGAGUCAUGCGAUGUUCAAGCGAUUCCGUUUGGCUAUGGGAGUGCGAUAGUCGAACAGGCUUGCAGACUGCCCGCGUGGGAGUGUUGAGGAAAAUGUUGUCCGGUCAGUCUGUCGCCUGAUGCUUGCGUGAUGCUUGGUUUCUGGAUAGAGUGGAGCCAUCUUCCGUACUUGCUGAUCGACUGUCGAACUCGUGAAUAAAUAGGAAUGAGCCAGCGAUUAUCUUUGGUCUGGUAUGCUUCUAGAGUAGUGAGUUGUGGCUGAGCUGAGCCGUUAGUCGCUUUGUAAACGCUCUGGCAAUCACUAUUGCGUCCAAAUCCAUUCAGCCUUCAAGACUACCAACCGGGCUUUGUACCGUUCUACUUGUCCGUCUACACCCCGCUUCACGUCAUGCACCCACUUCACCGGAAUCGGUUUCACCCCAGGUGACGGUACCUUCAGCUCCCACGUAUCUAAUGCGUGGAUAGAUCCGAUUUCUUGAACCAUCGCCUCCUGCCAUUUGUCCCGUUCCGGAGAGGCCAUCACUUCUUCGUAGGUGCUCGGGGUUUUGACGUCCGAUACGUUGACAGCAAGGUUGAGUCGUUGGGGUGGAUGACGGUCACGUUGGAGGUAACGAUGUUGUGUAGAGGCAGCUGCACCAGCCUUAUCCUCCCCCUCAGCUGCCUUACCGACAGCUUUAGGUUUCCCCUUAGUGGAAUCGGAUGCACCGCCGGUAGCCGUAGGUUCCUCCUCAGGUGCCUCAGGUGCUGCGCCAACUACCAUAGGCUCCCCCUCAUUCAGCUCAGCUGAAUCACCAUUCACCGCGCUCCCUUGACUAUCCUCUACGGCCUCGCUCGGACUAAGCUGCUCCCCUUGCCGGGCAGGGGCUGCAGUCUUGCAACUACUGCUAGCCACAUCGUCCUCAUCAUCACUAUCACUUCCGCUGCCGCUGCUUUCGCUAUCAUUCGUAGGCAGCGUGCAGGACGUUGGCGUCUCCUCAAAAAGCACGCUCCUGCUCACUACGAUACGCUUAGACCCGUCCAAUAAAAUCCGGUAUCCUUUGCAGUUGCGUUCGUAGCCCACCAACACACCCUUCUGGCUCGUGGCAUCGAGCUUGUUGCGGUGCCUCCUCUCGACAUGCACCCACACAGUACAUCCAAACACGCGCAAAUCAGAGACAUCUGGUUUCACACGGUGGAAAACUUCAAAGGGUGUUAUCUGCUUGCCCGACACAGGCGAACAAUUAUGCAGGGCACAUGCAGUGGUAAUAGCUUCGGCCCAUAAUUCAUGCGGCAAUCCUGAGUCUUGCAACAUCGCGCGGGUCUUCUCCAGGAGUGUGCGGUUCAGCCUCUCAGCGCGGCCAUUUUGCUCAGGAGUGUACGGCACGGAUGUGUCGUGCUGGACCCCCUUACCGUUAAGGUACUGUCCUAGAGCCUUAUUCAAAUACCCUCCAUGGCGAUCCGACUGAACUGCUAGCAGCUUCUUGCCCGAUUGGGUCUCUUAACAGCUGCAAUACUUCCUGGGCCGCUUCCGGAACUUCUCCCUUCGUCCCUACACAGCACACCACUGCAAAACUCGAAUGCUCAUCCAGAAACGUGGCGACAUACCUUGACCCGCCCAUAGACGGAACAGGCAUCUCACACACAUCCAUAUGCACUCGCUGCAAAAUACGGUUUGCUGCAUUCCCAGACGGAGGAAAAGACGCGCGGGUAUGCUUGGCCUUCACACACGGUUCACAGAUACUCUUCUCUUUCACCUUCUCCCGGACUUCAGCCGCGCUCAGGCCCAUACCAGUGACCAUUUCAUCAGACACGAGCUUCUCUAAAUUACCGUACCCUAUGUGUCCGAACCGACGAUGCCAAAGCCCCGCAGAUUCAGACAAGACCGCCAGGGUUUGGACGCACUCCCCCUGGCCCAACCGGGUCGCCUUUAGGUAGUAAUGGGUGCCCACCCGCACACACGGGAUUUGCUCCCCGUACUCCCACUCCAGGCUUGCGUAUUUCCUCAUUCGCGGAGAAAACAUUAGAGGGUUUCCUGGGCAUCGGCUGAAAAGACGUUUCGGCUGCCUAAUCACAGCAACCGGUCCACGAAAAUCCACAUGGUAACCCUUCAGACCUAGUUCGCCUACCGCAAUCAGUUUGUGACCUAAUCCCGGCGCAUAAUACACAUUCUUUAGGGUUAUCUUGACCUUGCCAUUCUCUUCCUCGGCUUCUAGCAGAACGGAACCCACUCCAACCGUCCUGCAAACCGCACCCGCCACACCUUCUAGGAUGAUGCCGUCCGUGAGCGGUCUGUAGUCGCUGAAGUCGGACCGGUCGUCCAUGACAUGGACGGCCACUGCCGAGUCCAUUUUCCACGCCAGCUUGGCGAGCGACUUCUCAACUGUUGCCUGGAUUUCCUCGGCUUCGGAGGUGGUGGAAGUGGUUAGGGCCAUUACAAGCUGCUUGCUGCGUCGGUUGUUGCCCUUGUUGUUGCCCUUUGUGACGAGCGGGCACUGUGACUUGAUGUGCCCAAGAACGCCACAUUUAUGGCACUUAUGGGUUGCGUAGGGGUUAAUGGAAACAUCAGGCCCGCCAGAGCUGGUACUCGCCCUGACGUUGACGUUUCCCUGACCCUUACCAGCUCCACUACGGUAGUCGCCACCGAAGCCACGGUGGCCUACCCCACUGCUCCGGUUGCUGAACGCCAGGGCCUCGACCUGGGCCCACUCUGCGUUGUUGUCACCUUGCAUCCGCUCCGCCAGGAGUAGAGCGGCCUUCAUUUCCGAAAGCUUCAGGUCGCUCGGCGGCUUGGCAGCAAAAAGCAUCUGCUGCAUUUGGAACUUCUUAUGCAAACCGCCCAAGAUGGCCAGGGCGAAUUGGCAGUCGUCGAUCUUCGAACCCACUGCAACCAUCUGCUCGCGUAGAUCUUCUGCUUCCUCGAAGUAAUCAACAACGGACUGGCCAGUCCGUUGCUUCAGGUUGCUGAAUUUUUGUUUUAUAAACAGAAUGUUUGCUCCGAUCUCGGAGACGCAUUCGGCGCGGAUCGCAUCCCACGCUGCGGCAGAAUCGGCUGCUUGAUCGAUCAGCCGAUGAAAACGGGGCACCGUGUAUUUAACCAGUUGAGAUUUCGCCUUCAUAGACUUCUCGGCGACGGCGCUCGGCAGGUCUGCUGCUUCGUCCCACAAGUCCUUGCCGGCCAGGCAGUAUUUCAUGGCCGUUCGCCAGCGAAAAUAAUUGGCGUAGCUGUCUAAGCGCUCUACAUCGUUAUCCUUCCCCAUACUUGUCCUAUCUCUAAGCCAGAGAAUUGCUAAGCCAGCAAGUUCGGACACAGUACUUAAGCAAAACGCUCGCUCGCUUGCCGCGGCGGCGCGGGGCUCAUAACCUGUUAAGAUAUAGGCGAGUGGAACUGUGUAGGUAAAGCCAGCCUUAACCGUUACAGGUAUCACAGAACAAUCUUUCAGUCAGAACAUCAUCUCCUUUAUACCAAACAUUCCAUCUUAUCUGUCGUACAGCCGUCAGUGUUCUGGCCGAAUGUCAACAUUUGUGUCCGUGGAUUUCCGAUUGAACUUAUCAGCUUCUUCCCAUUUAGGAAUUAUGAAUAUUCUGCUGACUGUCGUGCACGUUUACUGUGGCUGAACGCUUCCUAAGGCCAGCGAAUGAACGCUUCCGAACGAAUGAACGCUUCCUAAGGCCAGCGGUGCAUCCAUUCCUACAUAAUCUCUUACGUGACCUAAAUAUUAUUAAA
rnacentral:lncRNA from 1 species